AUAUUUUAGCAUGCACAUGUGCCCAAAUAAUUUAUUCUUUCCUUGAGGAUUUUCUUGACUUUAGAUUUGUUUACUAGAAGAUCUGCACAAAAAUAAUGGAGUUGUUUCUUUCCUAUUUCUCUCUCUCUCUCUUUUUUUUUUUUUUUUUUUUUGUUGUUGUUGUUGUUGUUUGUUUUUUCUCUCGAGGAGGCUUUGGGCCAUGUUUCUCCCUGUUGUGGGCCAUCUGUGUUGAAAAUGUGUCCAGAAUUGAAGGUUACCUCAUUGUCACCAGGAAACAGGAAAUAAGUUUGAGAAACAUCUGUUUUUCACCUUGGAUGAUUUUGUUAACUUGGAUGCAACAUUUUGCAGCUGUUUUUCAUUCCACAAACUUUGGGGAGCUGCAAAGCAUAUGUUUUGAAGAAGGAUGAAUUUGAAGAAGUCUCUUAUCCCUGUUGUAAAUCCAGGAAGGCACUCUAAUCAUUGCUGUGCAUUCUGCAGAUUAUUUCACCUAUAUGUCAUGAGGGAGAUAGAAGUCAAAUCUAUUCUCAAGCGCUUGCAGAGACCUGUACCUACGUCAGUGUAAUGCUUGUCCUCUAACGGUAAUGAGAUAAUUGCAGAAUCAAGCAAGAGAUUGGAAAGUUUGUUGUAGACUGUUGUUGGAGACUUUCCACUCAUGCUUCUAAAGACUCUAAAUUAUCAUCUAUGUAAGGACUAGUUUAUCUUUUCUGUAACUCUGUAACUUGACUUUAUGUUUAGAAACACUCCAACUGUCUAAGAAAAUGUGGCUAUAAUCUUUUACGCUCAGCUUAUUGGUUUUGCCACUGUUUACUAAAUAAAAUUAAGAAAGCUCUUUAAAUAAUUAGUAAA
ensembl:lncRNA